UACGAAGGGGGGCUAGCGUUGUUCGGAAUUACUGGGCGUAAAGCGCACGUAGGCGGAUAUUUAAGUCAGGGGUGAAAUCCCGGGGCUCAACCCCGGAACUGCCUUUGAUACUGGGUAUCUUGAGUGUGGUAGAGGUGAGUGGAAUUGCGAGUGUAGAGGUGAAAUUCGUAGAUAUUCGCAGGAACACCAGUGGCGAAGGCGGCUCACUGGACCACAACUGACGCUGAGGUGCGAAAGCGUGGGGAGCAAACAGG
rnacentral:rRNA from 1 species